AUUGAACGCUGGCGGCAUGCCUUACACAUGCAAGUCGAACGGCAGCACGGGGGCAACCCUGGUGGCGAGUGGCGAACGGGUGAGUAAUGCAUCGGAACGUGCCCUGAAGUGGGGGAUAACGUAGCGAAAGUUACGCUAAUACCGCAUAUUCUGUGAGCAGGAAAGCAGGGGAUCGUAAGACCUUGCGCUUUGGGAGCGGCCGAUGUCGGAUUAGCUAGUUGGUGGGGUAAAAGCUCACCAAGGCGACGAUCCGUAGCGGGUCUGAGAGGAUGAUCCGCCACACUGGGACUGAGACACGGCCCAGACUCCUACGGGAGGCAGCAGUGGGGAAUUUUGGACAAUGGGCGCAAGCCUGAUCCAGCCAUGCCGCGUGAGUGAAGAAGGCCUC
rnacentral:rRNA from 1 species